rnacentral:lncRNA from 1 species
CUCCAUUGGUAAGAUUUAGUUUCAGUUUGAAAUAUUUAAAAACAUUUGAAUUAAAAAUUGCCAUCUCUCUUUGCAUACAGUAAAACAAUAACUUCUGGCUAUAUUUGUAGAACAUCUUUAUGUGCACCAAUUUAUACAUGUAUUUUGCUUUUUUACAAACCUCAUAUGUGAAACAGCAUUUACAAAAUAGAUGCAUUAGGGGAAUAGUAACUUACGAAUUAAAAUAUUUUUGCUUUACUAAAUAAUUCACCACACGUUUCUUUAAAUAUCUAGCUUUUCUAGUGUAUUUUGCAUGUGUAGUUCAUUUAAAACCUUCCUUUAUUUUAUGGUAAUUAUAUGUUGCUAGUGAAAUAACUUUUUUUUUUUUUUUUUUUUGAGACAGAGUCUUGCUCUGUCUCCCAGGCUGGAGUGUAGUGGCGUGAUCUUGACUCACUGCAACCUCUGCCUCCCAGGCACAAGUGAUCCUCGCGCCUCAGCCUUCCAAGUAGCUGGGAUUACAGGUUACAUUUAGUAAAACUUUGUGAAAAUUAUCGUCAUUUCUCUCACCUCUCAUCUUUGGAACGGGAGAUGACUUUUUGCACCAAAAUGGUUAGGUUUCUUCUUCUAACGAAUUAAUUUGUGGUUUAAGAAUAGCGAGACUAUGAGGUAGAGAUGUAUUAGGAAUUGAAAUGAACUUUUGGUGAACUGCACUGUUUCAUAAGCUAUAACCCAGGUUUAUUAUUUAAAUAGUAAAGUGUUUGAGAUUAUUUUUCUGUUACUUCAUUAUCUCUCACCCUUUCCUAAUGCAGACUUCUUUUUAAGAUAAUAAAGAUGAAUUAUAAUAGCUGAGGAAGGAGAAGAAUGCAAGCUCUGAAAUGACAUCCUUAAAUGCUGAUACUGGUUACAACCUCUUUACCUCUCUGAGGAAAUUGUAACAGUGUGUCUUUUAGGGUGUUUUUAUUUUACCAGCCCUUAAGAAAGAUCUCUAAUACGUUUUAAUGCUUUUUUUUAUAAUUUCAAGUUGAAGUGUUUUUAAAAACACCUUGUUUUGUAAUGUUUUGAAUCUCUUGAGAUGUAUUUACCCCACUAGAUACAUAUUUGCCACUGGUUAGUUCUCCAUCUAAGCUCAAGAGGUUAUUCAUCUCUCUUUAGAUUCCAGUGGUUUUUCUUUUAACUUCCAGGUAAAAUAGAAACUGCUAUGGUAUACAACCAAAUUUUGGGGUUAAACAUAAUCAGAAAAGAAAAUCCAGUUAAAUUUAUGAAGUGAGAUUUUCAGAUCCUAGAUCUUGAAUAUAGCAAAGGUCUUUUCAUCUUGAUGGCCCCAAAGCUUGUUGGUCAUAGUCUAUUUCUGGCCAUUAUCUUCUUAAAUAAUCUAUUUUUAAGCCCUCAUUUAUUUUUGGUUUUGGAUGAGGAAAGUCAUGUUUUCUAAGUCCUCUCCCCUAAUAAAACCUACCCAACAAUAGUGCUUUGAAAAGUGGUAGUUAUCUUGAAGAUACUCUUGCCAAAUGCAAAGAUAAACAUUCUUUUUGUCUGCUUUAUAAAUAUGAAAUAUGCCAGAUCUAUAGUAUUUUAAUGUGCAUCUACUUUAAAUGAGUCAUCUUGGGGUUUUUAUAAUUCCCUUACAUUCUUGCCCCUCUACACUUGAAAUAACAAAAUACCUUAAUUUUAUAGAUUAGUUCUCUUAUAGUAGACAGGCAGCUAUAUGCAGCAAAACCAAUAAAGUUAUUUUUCAACUUUCAUAGUUGUAAAAUAUUUUAUAGCAAUACAAAACAGCUAAGAAAACAUGCCACAUUUUAUUUUAGCAUUUUCAAAUAAUUUGUUUUUGGUGUAAGCACAGGAUAAAAAAGGAGAGCGUCAAAGAAAAGAGACAUAACACCUAACAUUCAUAAAAAUUAACAAAGUAUAUUUUGGAUGAUAUUUUUACAGGAAAUAUUUUAAAUAAGUUGGUAGAAUUUUUAAAAUGGUACUGUAUUAGCUAAUAAAAUAUUCAGUACAAAUAUAUGUUUGGAUUUAUGCAUUAAAAAACUAAUAAAAUUA